UACGUAGGAGACGAGCGUUGUCCGAAGUUACUGGGCGUAAAGGGUGCGCAGGUGGCGGCGCGCGUGGGGGGUGAAAUCGCCCGGCUUAACUGGGCGGGGGCCUUCCAGACGGCGUGGCUUGAGCAGCGGAGGGGGACGUGGAAUUCCGGGUGGAGUGGUGAAAUGCGUAGAGAUCCGGAGGAACACCAAAGGCGAAGGCAGUGUCCUGGGGAGUACCUGACGCUCAGGUGCGAAAGCCAGGGGAGCGAACGGG
rnacentral:rRNA from 1 species